rnacentral:lncRNA from 1 species
AUGCUGCGUCUGUAUGUGUUGAAUCGUAAAUAUUUUGAUUAUUACCACGUUCAUUAGUAAAUCUUUCAUAUGUUUGAUUGAGCUCCAUGUUACAAUCCCUUUGGUCUCUGUUACAACUGAGCUUGUUUUGAUGAUUUUUUUCAGCAUUUUGAACAUUUUGCAAGGUAUCAUACCUGCCAUUCGAUAUUGGCAAGUGAAUUGGUUUUAAAGGCUCAUACGUGUGGUUUUCAUCGACAACAGUGUUUGGUGAACACAGAUUAUUUCUAUCACGAUUAGAAUGGAAUCUUGCCAUCACAUAUACAUUUCCCUUCAAACUUUGAUUUGAUAAUAAUAUAUUUUUUGAUAUUAAAAAAACAUAUUAAUUCAAAUGACACUUAGAACACAUUAACUAAGUAUUUUCUCUUUAAACAGGAAGAUUCACUCACCACAAAGGAAAACAAAU